AGUCGGUAGAGCAGAGGAUUGAAAAUCCUCGUGUCGGUGGUUCGAUUCCGCCUCUGGGCA
rnacentral:tRNA from 1 species